GACGAACGCUGGCGGCGUGCUUAACACAUGCAAGUCGAACGGAAAGGCCCUGCUUUUGUGGGGUGCUCGAGUGGCGAACGGGUGAGUAACACGUGAGUAACCUGCCCUUGACUUUGGGAUAACUUCAGGAAACUGGGGCUAAUACCGGAUAGGAGCUCCUGCUGCAUGGUGGGGGUUGGAAAGUUUCGGCGGUUGGGGAUGGACUCGCGGCUUAUCAGCUUGUUGGUGGGGUAGUGGCUUACCAAGGCUUUGACGGGUAGCCGGCCUGAGAGGGUGACCGGCCACAUUGGGACUGGGAUAAGGCCCAGACUCCUACGGGAGGGAGCAGUGGGGAAUAUUGCACAAUGGGCGGAAGCCUGAUGCAGCAACGCCGCGUGCGGGAUGACGGCCUUCGGGUUGUAAACCGCUUUCGCCUGUGACGAAGCGUGAGUGACGGUAAUGGGUAAAGAAGCACCGGCUAACUACGUG
rnacentral:rRNA from 1 species